rnacentral:rRNA from 1 species
UACGGGGGGGGCAAGCGUUGUUCGGAAUUACUGGGCGUAAAGGGGGCGUAGGCGGCCUUCUAAGUCAGACGUGAAAUCCCCGGGCUCAACCCGGGAACUGCGUCUGAUACUGGAGGGCUUGAAUCCGGGAGAGGGAUGUGGAAUUCCAGGUGUAGCGGUGAAAUGCGUAGAUAUCUGGAGGAACACCGGUGGCGAAGGCGGCAUCCUGGACCGGUAUUGACGCUGAGGCGCGAAAGCCAGGGGAGCAAACGGG